GGGGCUAUAGCUCAGCUGGGAGAGCGCAACGCUGGCAGCGUUGAGGUCAUCGGUUCGAUCCCGAUUAGCUCCA
rnacentral:tRNA from 1 species